UCUUCUAAGCUCAUCCCCAUAAUCCAAGCCAAGACAUAAGAGAAGUAUGAAUCAAUCUUUGUUUCUCAUUUAAGUAAUGUCUACUUUUUCUUGGAUUAUAGAGACAUCCUAAAGCUUUUGUUUUCAUGCAUAUAGGUGUUGGUGUGAACGUGUUAUCGUUGGUUCACGUUUACGUACGAGAAAAGGAGAAAACAAAAGAAAAGGGUUAAUAGUUAUUUUGUCUAUUCGUGGAUAUGUCGACUCUCGAGUCAUCGUCUGGUCACGAGCCUUGUUCGUUAUCGACUUACUUACUUGCCGUGUGCGGUGGGGUAUUACUUGCACCCAUUGACUUCUAUUAAAAUCUUUCUUAAGGGUCAAGAAGAAUAUGAUAAGUAAUAAAUUAAUACGUGCCUUUGUAUACACGUACAUGUUUUAAUACGGUAACGUUUGAUUUCACUUUACUAAUUAUAUACAUUUUGGAUUCACAUGUACUAUACGUUUUCUAUUCGAAUUGAUUCAUUAUGACCUUGAUGUAAAUCAUGAUGAGUUUGAAAGUGCAUGUGUGCACGUAACUCAAGUAAAAAAAAAACAUAUACUGUAG
rnacentral:lncRNA from 1 species